rnacentral:rRNA from 2 species
CACGUAAGGGGCAAGCGUUGUCCGGAAUCACUGGGCGUAAAGGGAGCGUAGGUGGUAAGAAAAGUCAGAUGUGAAAGUUUGCGGCUCAACCGUAAAAUUGCAUUUGAAACUUUCUUACUAGAGUAUCGGAGAGGAAAGCGGAAUUCCUGGUGUAGCGGUGAAAUGCGCAGAUAUCAGGAAGAACACCAAUGGCGAAGGCAGCUUUCUGGAAGAUAACUGACACCGAGGCUCGAAAGCAUGGGGAGCAAAC